UGGAGGGAGGCAGGCAGGCAGGCAGGCAGCUUUUGUCCUUCCUUCCUUCCUUCCUUCCUUCCUUCCUUCCUUCCUUCCUUCCUUCCUUCCUUCCUUCCUUCCUUCCUUCCUUCCUUCCUCCUGGCAGUGCCCAGCAUGCGCCGCAGGUGGACAGGCUCGGGAUGUGCUUUGUAGUCACACACUGCGCAGCGGGGGGAACUCAAGGCGCUCUGGCCUUGGCCCCGUUGCUUGCUUGCUGCCCCUGCUGCCGGCUCUCUUCUCUCUCACACAGUCAAUCCUCUGGAAAGUUGCAGAUCUACAGUAAGAAAAGAUGAAGAUGUAUUGGAAAAAUGAACAAGGAGGACUAUAUCACCUGCAGGCCUCAUAAAAUUUGGUGAAUGAGGCAGUGCAGUGGGAUGAACUGCUCUCAUCUAGACCAGGACCAAAAACACAAACUGGUUGUUUCUCUCUAGUCUUUCAGCUGUGAUGUCUGGUGUGUUGUGUUCCAGAACUUUGUCAGUCUGGAUCCGGAAGUCUCACAGUAUCUUUGCGUGCUCAUUUUCCAAUACUUUUGCAGAUGAAUGACGCCAUGGAGAAGGAAUGGCAAGGGAAUGUUCCACCUCAUUUAUCCUGAGAAAAGUCACUACUUUGUGAAGCCUGUUACUGCCUGCCUUGACUGUCACUGGUCCCCCAGGGAUACAGAUGGCUCUUGCAGAUUGGUCUAAAAAAGAGUGGCUUCUUGCACACUAUAAGUCCAGUGACGAUGGAAAAAGCGAAUUUUCUGCUGCACAAGAGACCAGGAUAUGGAGCAACAAAUUCAAACUACAGGAAAAGAGAUCCCAUCUAAAUAUUAGGAGGAGUUUCCUAACAGUAAGAGCUAUUCAACAGUGGGAUAUGUUGCAUUGGUGUGUGGUAGUCUCUCCUUCUUUGGAGGGUUUUAAACAGAGACUGAAUGUGUUAUCGAAGGCUUUCAUGGCCGGGAUCACAGGGUUGUUGUAUGUUUUUCGGGCUGCAUGGCCAUGUUCCAGAAGUAUUCUCUCCUGACGUUUCACCCACAUCUAUAGCAGGCAUCCUCAGAGGUUGUGAGGUAUGGAGAAAACUAAGCAAAGAGGUAAAUAUAUAUCUGUGGAAAGUCUAGGGUGAGAGAGGUCAGUGUGAAUGUUGUAGUUAAUCACUGAAUGGCUACAUAUCUAUUACAAGUACUUUGCGUUCUUGUUUAGCAUUGGGUUUUAUUUAUUUAUUUAUUUUAAUAAUUUAUACCCUGCCCUUCUCACCCGGGGGGACUCAGGGUGGCUUACAACUGGCAAUUGAUGCCGUUACACUGAUAUACAAUGAACUAAAACGUUAAAACAGUUAAAACAGUCAUAAAAUACAAUAUGCAAAGUUUAAAACAAUGCAAAGUGCCCAUGCCAUUCCUUAUGUACCAGACCUUAUGCAAGAGCCGUAAUUCAGACCGCGUCGAAGCCAACACAUGCUUAUUCUUCGAAUGCCUGCGUACAUAGCCAGGUCUUCAGUUUUUUUCUGAACCCCAAAAGGGAUGGGGCCUGCCGAAUGUCACUGGGGAGGGAGUUCCACAGCCGGGGAGCCACCACCGAGAAGGCCCUGUCUCUCGUCCCCACCAGCCGUGCCUGUGAGGCAGGUGGGACUGAGAGCAGGGCCUCUCCAGAUGAUCUUAAGGUUCUCAUGGGCUCAUAGGGGAAGAUACGUUCGGACAGGUAAAUUGGACCAGAACCGUUUAGGGCUUUGUAGGCCAAGACCAGCACUUUGAAUUGGGCUCGGUAGCAACCAGUGGAGCUGGCUUAACAAGGGAGUAGUACGCUCCCUGUAUGUCGCUCUAGUUCCCUCUUCUUUCGCUUCAUCGCUGCCAACUCCUCGGUGAACCAAGGAGAUGGUUUAGCUCGGGUACUCGAGAGGGGACUUCCGGAGCGAUCAUGUCUAUUGCCCUGGCCACCUCCCUAUUCCAGAGAGAGACCAGAGCAUCGACAGGAUUACCAACCGAGGUGGCGGGAAACUCCCCAAGAGCCAUCAGGAAUCCAUCUGGAUCCAUAAGCAUCCUGGGGCGGACCAUUUUAAUAGGUCCUCCACCCCUGCGGAGGUUAGGUGGCGCAGUCAGCCUAAAACUGAUCAGGUGAUGGUUGGUCCAUGGCAAAGGAGCGAUGGUAAGCUCCUCCACACCGCCACCUUCCUCCCAUCCCUGGCAGAAAACCAAGUCUAAUGGGUUGGGCCAGAUUGCCUUUGAGGACUCUUCCAAAUAUAUAAUUUUAUUGUGAAAAAUACUUUUUGUUUCAUCAUGACUUGGAAUCAAAAUGCAACUAACCUAUGGAUUAAAAUGUUUCAGCUGGUGUGAGGAAUUGCCAGUAAAAAGUCUGGAACAAUAGAAAUGUUGUUUGGUUGUUUAAGAACACUUGUGAAAUACAACAAUUAAUGCCAUAUCAUUUUUAUGUAUUCACUUUAUUCAUGAGAAUCCAUGUACUCUGUUGUAAACAUGGGGUGGUCAGGCUGUUUUUGCAGCUCCUUUCCCCCUUUCCCCAAAGUAGUACUAAAUUUGGCAACAUGUUGCUAAAUUUCAGCAAGUGCACAUCAGUAAAACAAACAUUUCUUACUAAAAAAGGCAACUUUUAAAAAGUGAAAUCACGUUUGUCAAAACCUCUCAUUAAUGCAGUUCUACUCUGAAACAAGCUAUCCUUUCUCUAAGCCCCAUAUUUUAUACACAUGCUUAAUACAGUUCCUAAAUAUGGACUAACUCUUGCUUGAAGACAAAAUUAAAAUAAUAUACCUAUUCACUAAUUCAGACUUUUCUCUUGAUACUGAAUCCAUCUAUACUAACAAAAGUUUCUUUUUUUGUCCAAUUAACCAUGAAAGAAUGUUGAAGUUGGGGCCAGGAAUUGCCAGAAAAUAAUCUGGGACAGCAGAAAAGUCAUUUUGAUAUUUUGAAACCUCCUUACAUGUAUACUUCUCCUGGAGGAGUCCAUGUCAAUAUCAUCAUCAUGAACCCAUUUGACAAAGAGCUAUGACCACUUCCAUACCAGCCUUACUGCUCUGCAAAUGUUAUGACUGCUUGGCAUUUAUAAUCAGGCCAGCAUGUUAGAAUUGCAGCUUAAACAGUGUGAUGCCUCCAAUGAGUUUGUGAUAAUACAUGAUUGAAAAUGCAUAUUUUUUGAGAGAGAUAAUUGUUUUUGUCUGUUACCUGGUUCUCUGGGCAAGGAAUGGUCUUGAG